rnacentral:lncRNA from 1 species
CAGACAGCAUCCCUGGUUUUCACCUUCUACUUGAUCUUCCGUUCAGCCUUUCUAUCAGUUUUUUAACCAUGCAAAAAUCCUGCUAAUAAAUUACUUUCUUGCUUAAUUAUUAAGCAUUGGGUUUCUAUUGCCUCUCAGAAACCUCAACUCAGACUUCCCAACAGAGAAAACUGCAAUGCAUUCUACAACUGCAAGGAACACUGACAGCUGUCAGGAUUACAAAAGGAUAGAAAUGCUGAGGAACUGUCUCAGUUGACAGAAGGCUAAGGAGAAAUGAACACUAAAUGAGAUCUCCAUUGGACCCUGCAUGAACAGGAAAGGCAACAGGGGAGGCAAGUCCUUCUCUAGUUGAUCCUCACAUAAGAACCAAUCCCUGACCAACACCUUAAUGACCAGCUUGUGAGACCUUAAGAAGAGCCAACUAGGUCACCCCAGACUUCUGAGCUGCAGGUACACUGAAAUCAUAUUCUUAUAGCUGCUUAGAUAGUGGUCAUUUGUUACACAGAGAGAAGAAGAAGAUAACAGUGUUGUGAUGCUACAAUGACCAAUUACAGAAUGAAGAAUCUUCUAUGCUACAAGAAAUUUGUUUCUCAAAAAUAUCCAUGCCUCAAAAAUCAAAACAACAACAACAAAAAAGGAUGAAAGGAUAUCAUUAAAGGAAAAAAGAAAAUUGGGAACACAAUCAAAUGCAUUAUGUAGGCUUUUCAAGGAUGCUGAUUCAAAUGAACCGAUUGCAAAAGAAAUACUUUGAGAAAAUUGGGGAGUUUGGAAAUAGCCUGAAUAGUAAGUUACAAUAAUGCAUUAUUAUUCUUUAUUUAGUAGGAUAAUGACAUAG